UACCGCGCCUUGUGCGAGGGACGUCCAUGAAACCGGUCAGGUCCGGAAGGAAGCAGCCGUAAGUGGUCCCGUUCUUGUGCUCAGGGCGAGUGCGCGGUCC
rnacentral:SRP_RNA from 1 species